CUCUCUUUCCCCAGUGCUGAGCUAACAACUGAAAUAAGAGUACACAAUCAGUAUGUUAAUAAUCAAGGAGUCUGCUCACUGCAUUAUACAGACAUCAGAGGAAUUUCUUCCACUGUCUGAUGAAUAUCACAAACAGGCCUGUUUGUAUUAACAGAGCCUUAUGUAGCAAGUCCAAAAGUGACAAACCAAACAGUUUUAAGUGGUUGCAUUCCAGCUCCAAAUGUCCCGAGUAUCAAACAUCAUUAGAAACCUGCAUCCUGGCUGCAUGUGAGGGAAACAAAGCCUGGUGGAGGCCCGCAGUCAGUUGGACUAGACACUCGGUGUCGAAGCAGAUGACUAUGACAAGGUUUUUCAACUGCCAAAGUGACACUGCAAUUGCAAUCUGGGGCUGCAGCUGGAGAGCCAGAAAUACUGUAUCGGUUACCAAGAGGGAAGGCAUUUAUUCUUCAGAGCGACAUUUCAGGAAGGCUUUACGUCUGAGUCAUCAUCUUUGACGGCGUGUGUGUCCAUCAGCGAGCUGAGCAGCAGCGCUUCCGCAAAACUCUGCAGGGAGGUUUGAAGCUCUGCAGGUCUCUGUGGACUUGACCGGCUGCCCUACGAAGUCAACAGAAAGGUUCCCUCUGGUGCCUGUGGGCUGGGAACCGGACCCUGGGUGGCAUUUCUUGGGCUUAGAGGCGGCACGACUCCCAUGCAUACGGCCAAACUGAAUUAUCACCCGAAACCCAACAUAUAAGGCAAGCAGAACCAGCAGGCACAGCUCCUUCGCCGUCCUGCCUGCAGCACAUAGAGGGCAAUAGCAGGAAAGGAAAGAUGAGAAUCAUAUAAAUACUCUUAAGGAUAGCGGCUUUUUAUUGAAUUUGCUGUGGCAGUUUCUGUGGGCUGCUCCUGUGACUCUCUUUACCAAUUUCCACCUCCACCAUCCCAGGCCCCUGGGGGACAGGAAGCCCACCCAGAGCAUGCCAUGCAGGCUGUGCAGGCCACAGGGUCUGGGCAUGCAUGGCAGAUGGACAGCCACGAGCAUCACCUGCUGCAAGGCUCUCGUGCCUUGCCAGAAGGGAGGAUGGCAUUUGACAAAGCUGGGAGAAGGAGCUUAAUUCCCCAAAGCUUAUUUCAACCAACUUGCUUGGGUUUACAAAGGGGGCCUGGAAACUGAAAAGGAACAGACUUUCUCAUGAGACUUCCUGUUGGUGCUGCAUCCAGUAGGACCGGAAAUAUCACAAGAAUAGCUUUUCUUGUGGUAUUUUAUUACUUCUGCUUCUGCUCCUGGACGGAACUGGGAAGUACAAGGGUGCAUGGAAAUGAAAUAUAGUGGUCAGAGGGGAGCCUGCCAAACAUUUGGAAUGACAACAGCAAGAAAGGUCAUUCACUUAAGUCUCAGGAACCGCUUCCGAUCCACUCUUAUUUUAUUCAGACACAUUUAUGUGAUGCUGCUUUUAAAACUCAUUCACUCAAGGCUGGCAUCGCUCUGUAUUCAAACAUGGGCUGUCCGUGGUUCAGCUGUGACUACCGCUGCAAUCUCAGGCAGUGGCUGAGUGUCUGGUGGCAGCAGUGACGCAGCGUGAAGGCAGCAGAGCAGCUGUGAUCAGGUCCCCCAGCUCUGCCCUCCCUGAAGGCGAAGAGAGGCAGCUGGAGGGGAUCCGCCACCUUGGAGCAGCCGGGAAGAGAGGGAAAGCCAACAACAGCUCUGGGCUGCACUGCUGCCGAGAAGCUGUUCGGUGAUUUACACCCUUGGCAUCGCAAUCAAAACUACCUAAACCACAUGGGACCAUUUCCAUUUCCUGUUUGGUUGAUGCAGUCUUUGCAUGUUACUCCUCUUUCUUCCUGAAGUGAAUUCCCCUUCGCUGAAAAACUAAUUUUGUUCCAUUAUUAAAUGAGCGUUAGCUGCUAAUCAACUCUUUGCUUUCCUCAACAAGCUCCAUUUGCAAGCAAACUGAAUUAGAAGGGGUAUGAGCACAGAUGAAGAGAAAUGCAGCUUAAAAGCUGAGACAAGAUUCCCUGAGUUCAUUGCCUUAUUAUCUGGCUCUUGUAUUAAAAGCACUCUGCUCAAUUUAGAUUACAAAGUGGAGUUGUGCUUCAGAUGCCAUAUGGAAUAAUCAGAUGGCGUGGCUCCGCUCCCAGCGCAGAGUUCUCUCCCUACUUCAGUCUGAAGCCAGCCUCAUGGUCUUUCCUUCCCAGCUCCCCAGGCUCAGUGGCACCACACAGACAGUCAGCUCACCAGCCUGCUUGUCUCUAUUUUCCACCCUUCCUACAAGUUGAUCCUGGCACAAUAUCCCAUAGUUUUGCUUUCUUUCUCAGCCGGGGAGACGCACCAAAUGCAAUUACCUGCCAGUACAGGGGAGGACAGAAAAUGAAGGCAAGUUCAGGUAGAUCCUAGCAUUGCAGAAGGAUGAGCAAAAGGAACUGCUAGAUGCCAGACUGAAGCCAAGCUUCUAAACACAAAUGUUAAGGUCUCUGUCUUCUUUGAAAAAAAAAAUAAAAAUAAAAAUCAUCCUUCAACACAAACUAAUAUAAACAGGGGAGGUCAAAUCCCUUUUGUUUCAUGCUCUGUACUGUUUUGAGUUGACACUCUUGGACCGCACUUGAGUCAUAGCUCGUGGCUACUGGUUCAUUUAUUGCAUGCCUACACUUUUCACUGUAUUAAAAGCUGAUGUUCUAAACUAUAAUUCUAUGGUAAAAGAGAAUUGGAGAGUAUGUUCUAUUGUUGGAGAGUUGCAUAAUAUAUACAUAAUUG
ensembl:lncRNA